GAUGAACGCUGGCGGCGUGCCUAAUACAUGCAAGUCGAGCGAACAGACGAGGAGCUUGCUCCUCUGACGUUAGCGGCGGACGGGUGAGUAACAAGUGGAUAACCUACCUAUAAGACUGGGAUAACUUCGGGAAACCGGAGCUAAUACCGGAUAAUAUAUUGAACCGCAUGGUUCAAUAGUGAAAGACGGUUUUGCUGUCACUUAUAGAUGGAUCCGCGCCGCAUUAGCUAGUUGGUAAGGUAACGGCUUACCAAGGCAACGAUGCGUAGCCGACCUGAGAGGGGGAUCGGCCACACUGGAACUGAGACACGGUCCAGACGCCUACGGGAGGCAGCAGUAGGGAAUCUUCCGCCAUGGGCGAAAGCUUGACGGAGCAACGCCGCGGGAGUGAUGAAGGUCUUCGGAGCGUAAAACUCUGUUAUUAGGGAAGAACAAAUGUGUAAGUAACUAUGCACGUCUUGACGGUACCUAAUCAGAAAGCCACGGCUAACUACGUG
rnacentral:rRNA from 1 species